UGGGGAAUAUUGGACAAUGGGCGAAAGCCUGAUCCAGCCAUGCCGCGUGAGUGACGAAGGUCUUCGGAUUGUAAAGCUCUUUUGGCGGGGACGAUAAUGACGGUACCCGCAGAAUAAGCCCCGGCUAACUUCGUGCCAGCAGCCGCGGUAAUACGAAGGGGGCUAGCGUUGUUCGGAAUUACUGGGCGUAAAGCGCACGUAGGCGGAUUGUUAAGUCAGGGGUGAAAUCCCGGGGCUCAACCUCGGAACUGCCUUUGAUACUGGCAAUCUCGAGUCCGGAAGAGGUGAGUGGAAUUCCUAGUGUAGAGGUGAAAUUCGUAGAUAUUAGGAAGAACACCAGUGGCGAAGGCGGCUCACUGGUCCGGUACUGACGCUGAGGUGCGAAAGCGUGGGGAGCAAACA
rnacentral:rRNA from 1 species